rnacentral:tRNA from 1 species
AACUCCCAAAGCUAGGAUUCUUACAUUAAACUAUUCUUUGUU